rnacentral:rRNA from 1 species
UACGAAGGGGGCUAGCGUUGCUCGGAAUCACUGGGCGUAAAGGGUGCGUAGGCGGGUCUUUAAGUCAGGGGUGAAAUCCUGGAGCUCAACUCCAGAACUGCCUUUGAUACUGAGGAUCUUGAGUUCGGGAGAGGUGAGUGGAACUGCGAGUGUAGAGGUGAAAUUCGUAGAUAUUCGCAAGAACACCAGUGGCGAAGGCGGCUCACUGGCCCGAUACUGACGCUGAGGCACGAAAGCCAGGGGAGCAAACAGG